GCCCGGCUAGCUCAAUCGGUAGAGCGUGAGACUCUUAUAUGACUCGUAGCCAGCCCCCGAGCGGUUCCGAGAAAGAAAAAGGUCAUCUCAAGGUUGUGGGUUCGACCCCCACGUCGGGCU